AGGUGUGCCUUUAAUAACUAUGCUGGGUUGGGUUAUAUUUGCAUCCGCAUUUGUCCAUACUUGUAGACAAGCUCACCUUGCCAUUGUGCUCCACGUUCCACACCUCUACUUGAUUUAGUGCCCAUGUCGUGCCACUUCAACGCCACGUCAUUUGGCAUGUCAGCGACUCCUUAGCUCCAUGACAUUUGACAAGUAGUGCCACCACUUGCCAUGUUAGCACCUGCCAUGUCAGCAAUUUUUGGUAGAAUCCAUCCCCACUAAUUUCAAUGCACUGAUUCUGAUUUUGACAUCCAUUUGAGUUGCAAUAAAUAUUUAAGUUUGAUAAGAAUUUUAAAUUGUGUUUUCAAUAAAACUUGUGCAGUGGAUUGAAAUUAGAAGACUACAUGCUGAAAUGGAUGAUUACAAGUGAAAUUCAAAGAUUGCAAGCUAAAAUCGAUAACUCCAACAUACAACUAGAUGAAGUAUGUUAUUUGAGGUAUUCACAUGGUGGCGUUGUAUAUUGUCCUUCUGACUUAUUUUAUAAAUAUUGAACCAUCAGACAAUUUUAACGAGUUAGGGAGAGAACUCUUAAACAUGGAAGAACAAAUAUAUGUUUCAACUAUGAGUUACGGAGAGAAACUUGAAGCAUGGAAGGACUGUUUGGCUAGGCUAAAAGUAGAACUAGAAGCAAUAUCAAGAGUUCUUGAAGUUUGCUCAGCAAAUCAGCAGGAUGCAAGGCAUGAAGUUGAUAGUGAAGUGCAACUUGAAUAAUCCAAAACUUUGAUUGUUAAACUUGAAGAGUUUGAAGCUUUGAUUAUUGAACAACCUGGAGAAUCCAAAGUUUUGAUUAUUGAGCCUUCACUUAUUGAAAUCCAAGAUGAUAACAUCGAGUUACAAAUAUUUGAGGGAUUAUUCUAGAGAAAGAAGCUAAUAAGAAUAAGCAAGAAGAGUUUGAGCCUUUGAGGACUCAAUCUGGGGAAAGAAGAAAACCAGACCUUUGAUAAGACAAUGGAAAUUGAAGAUUUGGCUAAUUCUU
rnacentral:misc_RNA from 1 species